rnacentral:rRNA from 1 species
UAGUCCACGCCGUAAACGAUGAUAACUGGUUGUUGGCGAUACACAGUCAGCGACUGAGCGAAAGCAUUAAGUUAUCCACCUGGGGAGUACGUUCGCAAGAAUGAAACUCAAAGGAAUUGACGGGGGCCCGCACAAGCGGAGGAACAUGUGGUUUAAUUCGAUGAUACGCGAGGAACCUUACCUGGGCUUGAAAAGUGAAUGAUUGACUUAGAGAUAGGUUUUUUCUUCGGAACAUUUACUUAGGUGCUGCAUGGCUGUCGUCAGCUCGUGCCGUGAGGUGUCGGGUUAAGUCCCAUAACGAGCGCAACCCCUAUCAUUAGUUACCAGCGAGUCAAGUCGGGGACUCUAAUGAGACUGCCACCGUAAGGUGUGAGGAAGGUGGGGAUGACGUCAAGUCAGCACGGCCCUUACGUCCAGGGGCUACACACGUGUUACAAUGGGCCAGUACAGAGGGGCCGCUACUUGGUAACAAGAUGCGAAUCU